GACGAACGCUGGCGGCGUGCCUAAUACAUGCAAGUCGAGCGGAUCUUCAUUAGCUUGCUUUUGAAGAUCAGCGGCGAACGGGUGAGUAACACGUGGGCAACCUGCCUGUAAGACUGGGAUAACUUCGGGAAACCGGAGCUAAUACCGGAUAAUCCUUUUCCUCUCAUGGGGAAAAGCUGAAAGACGGUUUCGGCUGUCACUUACAGAUGGGCCCGCGGCGCAUUAGCUAGUUGGUGAGGUAACGGCUCACCAAGGCGACGAUGCGUAGCCGACCUGGGAGGGUGAUCGGCCACACUGGGACUGGGACACGGCCCAGACUCCUACGGGAGGCAGCAGUAGGGAAUCUUCCGCAAUGGACGAAAGUCUGACGGAGCAACGCCGCGUGAGCGAUGAAGGCCUUCGGGUCGUAAAGCUCUGUUGUCAGGGAAGAACAAGUACCGGAGUAACUGCCGGUACCUUGACGGUACCUGACCAGAAAGCCACGGCUAACUACGUGCCAGCCGCCGCAGUAA
rnacentral:rRNA from 1 species